UGGAGCAGCGUAGGAGACUAGGAAGGGCGGCGUUCGGCGGGAUCCUUUCCGGAAGCGGAAGCUCGGGGGGCGGGCCAAGAAAGUCCUGGAGCCCAAGGCGGUUAAUUCUUUUUACCGUGAGGCUUCGCUUCCCUCGAUCUGGGCUUUUCUGAGGCUGCGAGAGAUGGUCAGGUCCGGGUCUCGACCCGGCCAGGUGUUACCUUCAGGAAGGCACACUGGACCUGCUAAAUUAACAAAUGGAAAGAAAGAGACCCAUUUAAGAAAAAUAUCAUGUUUUAAUGCAGAUUCUGGCUCUUCCAUCCAUUCUGAUUCAGAAAGUCAGGCUGAAACUGUACAUGGGCUUGAUGGUUGUGCUUCUUUGCUGAGGAACAUUUUGAGAAAUGAAGAUUCAGGUUUAGAAACAGCAUAUUUAGAAAACAGAUCUAAUUCUAGACCUUUAGACAUCAGAAAAUAUGGAUCUAAAAAGAAAAGACAUAAAAAACGUACUGUUCCUUUUGUAGUCCGGAAAGAAACAUCAUCUUCAGAUAAGAAACAGAUACCUAAUGAAGCUCCUGCUAGAAGUGAAAGAGACACAUCAGACCUAGAACAAAAUUGGUCAUUGCGGGAUCAUUAUAGAAUGUAUUCACCUGUAAUAUACCAAGCCCUCUGUGAGCAUGUGCAGACUCAGAUGUCACUGAUGAAUGACUUGACUUCAAAGAACAUCCCUAAUGGAAUUCCUGCUGUACCAUGCCAUGCUAUGUCUCCUUCUGAAUCUCAGGCAACUCCUCAUUCUAGUUAUGGCUUAUGUACCUCCACUCCAGUCUGGUCACCUCAGCGGCCACCCUGCCCUCCAAAGGUUCAUUCUGAAGUUGAAACUGUUGGUGACAGUCAGUUUGCAUCACAAAGUAAAACAGUUUCUGCGACCUGUACUGAUGUUCUACGGAAUUCAUUUAACACCAGUCCUGGAGUUCCAUGUAGCCUGCCCAAAACUGACAUAUCAGCUAUUCCAACAUUGUGGCAACUGUGCCUUGUUAAUGGGAUUCCGCCACAACAAGGAGUACAUAAGGAAAUAGACCUACUCAAAUGUUUUCAAACGUAUAUUUCUCUUUUUCAAUCUCAUGGAAAAGAAGCACAUCUGGACGGUCAGACACACCGAAGCCCUACUCGAUCACAACCAGCUUUCUUGGCCACUAAUGAAGAAAACUGUGCCAGAGAGCAAAUUAGAGAGGUCACAAGUGAAAGAAAGGAUUUAAACCUACAUGUGCGAGAUACAAAAACAGUCAAGGAUGUACAGAAGGCAAAAAAUGUGAACGAGAUAGCUGAAAAAGUUAGAAUUAUAAAAUAUUUGUUAGGAGAGCUUAAGGCCCUGGUAGCAGAAAAAGAGGAUUCAGAAAUUCAGAGGUUGGUUACAGAAAUGGAGGCUUGUAUAUCUAUACUUCCAGCAGUAAGCGGAAACACAGAUAAUCAAAUUGAGAUAGCACUGGCCAUGCAACCAUUAAGAAGUGAGAAUGCUCAGUUACGAAGGCAGUUGAGAAUGUUGAACCAGCAACUCAGAGAACAAGAGAAUACUCAUAAGCCAUCUGGUGCUGUGGAUGGCAACCUUGAAUUGUUUUCUCUUCAGUCAUUGAAUAUGUCACUGCAGAAUCAAUUGGAGGAGUCACUAAAGACCCAGGAAUUACUGCAGAGUAAAAAUGAAGAGCUCUUUAAAGUGAUUGAAAAUCAGAGAGAUGAAAACAAAAAAUUUGCUAGCCUAUUUAAAGACAAGGAUCAAAUUAUACUUGAAAAUAAACAGCAAUAUGACAUUGAGAUAACAAGAAUAAAAAUUGAAUUGGAGGAAGCCCUAGUCAAUGUGAGAAACUCCCAGGUUAAGUUAGAAACUGCUGAAAAGGAAAACCAGAUAUUGGGGAUAACAUUACGUCAGCGUGAUGCUGAGGUGAAUCGGCUAAGAGAAUUAACCAGUGCCAGACCAUCGAGCUGAUGAUCCCCCUCACUACUGGUUCCAAGGAAAGACUUAAGUCUACUGUAUCUAUGGCACUGACCACCAGGUGUAUGCGGUGGACUAUCCUGAGCGGUAUUGCUGUGGCUGUACCAUUGUGUGACAUAGCAGAGCUGUCCCCAGAGCCUGCCAUUCAUGUUUGCCAAGGAGGACAACUGAUGCUCUCCUAGUGUGCUCACCACUGACUGCAUUGGACAAUCAUAUACAAACCUUGAUGAAGAGAUGGAAGCCCAGAGUUUCAAUCACUUGCCCAAAGUCACAGAGCCGGGAAGCGAAGAGCCAGGACACUGCCUGGUUUUAAAUUCUGGUUGGAAAUGCAAUGUGCCAGUAUAGAUGGUGUGCUUGUGUGUGUGUUAUCCUCAGUGGCAUCCAGGGGACAAAUGUGCAGAUCAGCUGACAGUGACAGCAGGCUCCCUUCUUCACCACCAGCAACUGUCAGAGGAGGCUAGAUAGAGUUUCACUCUUGUCCAGGCUGAAGUGCAAUGACACAAUCAGGGCUCACUGCAGCCUCAAACUCCUGGGCUCAAGCAAUCCUCCUGCCUCAGCCUCCUGAGUAGCUGGGACUAGAGAUGUUUCUCCCCUCUGGAGCCAAUUCCACCACUCCCUGGGAAGUGAUGUGAUGACCUUGGGCUUGUGUCCAUAGAGCACGGGAGAGUUUUGGCAGGUUGACGUUAUGUUGGUGUCAACCCACUUAAAGUGAAAACACGCCGGGCAUGGUGGCUCACGCCUGUAAUCCCAGCACUUUGGGAGGCCGAGGCGGGUGGAUCACGAGGUCAAGAGAUUGAGACCAUCCUGGUCAACAUGGUGGUGCGCGCCUGUAUUCCCAGCUACUCGGGAGGCUGAAGCAGGAAAAUUGCUUGAACCCAGGAGGCGGAGGUUGAGAAUCCCACUCAGCGAUUGCAGCAUGGCAGAAGCAGCAAUUAAAUGCAGUGUGGGGAAUCUAAGGAAAGGACACAGCCUGAGUGAUGGACAGAGGUGAGGAAAGCAGGGGUGCACACAGUGACUGCAAGCUGACCAUUUGGCUUCUGAAAGGAUAACAGGAAGGAAGGAGGGUUGGGGCAGGAAAAGUAAGAAAUUUGAUUGCAAGGUGAAAUCGUUUCAAUUUUUUUCUGUGUGUGCAGCAGGGAACCCCUGAUUGUUCUUGAAGAGGGGAGUGCAAGAUGAGGACUGUGUUUCUGAGCAAUUCGUCUGAAAGCAGUGGGUAGAGAGGGUAAGUUCCUGUCAGGAAGACUUGUCAGUCUGAGUAGAAAAUGUUCAAGGUAAGACAUGACUUUGGGGAUAGAGGGAAAAGGAGGAUGGAGAGAAGAGACUAGACUGAUUUGAGUGCCAGAGAUGAUUCAGGUGCUCCAAAUGCAAGGGUGAGUGUCAUUAAUAGACAUGAGAAAGGCAGAAAUGGCUCUGGGUUGUGCCCCAUGGGGACUAUUAUGGGAGAUCACGCCUACCCAUGAUGGUGUGACCCACUGGACAAAGUCAACCAGGCACUGUGCUGGGGUUUCAACAGAGAUGAGAUCAUGUAUCUCAUGAUCUCCCUAUGCAGCAAUCACCAGCCCUUGCUUAAAGCUGUUUGAAGGCUACCCCUUGCUCCUAGGACAGAGACCAGUCUUUUGCAUUGCCCCCAAACUGGAGCAGGCUAGCUCUGCCCACCUCUCAUGCCCCAGGCCCACCCUCCUCACCAUGCUCUGUGCUUCUGCCACACCAACCUUCUUUCAGUUCCAUCCAUGGGCCAAGUUCACACUGUAUCUCCAAUACCAGCAAAUAGGUGUUGAAUAAACUGGUGGGGCUUCUACCACAGGGCCUUUGCACAUGCCAUUCAUAUAUCCAUCUUUAACCAUUGUCCUUUCCCACUUUGCCAAUUUCGAAGCUACCCAUCCUCUUUUUUUUUGAAACAGAGUCUCACGUCUGUCACCCAGGCUGGAGUGCAGUGGCAUGAUCACGGCUCACUGCAGCCUUGACUUCCUGGGCUCAGGUUAUCUUCUAGAGUAACUGGGACCAUAGGUAUACCAUCAUGCCAGCUAAUUUUUGUAUUUUUUUGUAGGGAUGGAGUUUUGCCAUGUUGCCCAGGCUGGUCUUGAACUCCUGGGCUCAAGUGAUCCACCUGCCUUGGCCUCUCAAAGUUCUGGAAAUACAGGCCUGAGCCACUAGGUCUGGCAAGACUACUCAUCCUUUAUAGCCCAGUUCAAGUGUCACUUUCCCAGGGGCACCUCUCUCGAUACCUAAGUCCAGUUUACUUGUAUUAUAGUAACACAAAUCUUCCUUGUAUAGUAUGUACAGUAGGAGUAAUUUUGCAUUGACUUGUGAGAGUAUUUGCUUGAGGCCUAUCUCCCCCACAGAUUGUAACAUCUAUGGGUGUAGGAGUCACUGUUGUUUUUGUGCAUGCUGUAUCUCCUAUAUUCAACAUGGGAAUUGGAACUGUGCGGUGCUCACUGAAUAUCUGUGGAAUGAUAAAUGAAUGCAAUGGGUGAAUAUUUUGCUGGUGCUUCAGGAAAGCGCCAGAGAAGCAGAUUAUGCUUGAGAAGCACCUUAUAGGAUGAACAGAAUUUCAACAGCCAGAGUUGGCCUUCAGGUAGCCAGGCCACGACUAGCAAAAGCACAGGGAAGGGCUUGAGCAAAGGGAGCUUCUGCAUGUUUAGGAGGAAUAGGAGAAUAGAAAUCUAGGGAAAUAAAGGGCUCUAGGGCCAGAAAGACAACAAAGCCAACUUUUAGAAAGAUACAAACAUCCAAGUGAGGACUUGGUUGUUAACUUGGCAGGCAGUGAAGAGCCAUGGAGACUGAGUGAAGGAAAUGACACUCUUGAAACUUCUCUUUGAGAAGAUGAACGUGACUAGGAAACUGAGGGUGACUAGAGAAAGGAGCUGGGAACAGAAAACCACUGCCUUGGGAGGAUAUAGCAAUGGCUUUGGUUAAACUUAUAAAGCACAUGAAUGGGGGUUUUGUAGGUAAGAGAUGCUCAGAGCAAAGUUUGAAUGGUGAGGUUAAAGAAAUCUGGCAGCUGAUGAGAAAGUUCUAGAAAGAAAACCACUGAUGACCAGACUGUAAGCUCCUAGGACUUGUGUCUUUUUCAUCCUUAUACUCCCAGUAGAAAAAGACAUGUUUUUGUUAGAAAUUGUGGGAAAGAAAUUAAUAUAAGGGCUGAAAAUGUUCAGAGAAACCACAAAAGGGAGAUAAAAUUUGGCCUAAAGACCUAUUCUACUUGGCUCAUUCAGUGUUUAGUUGGCAACAUUAAAAAUUGAGAUUUCUCAUAAAAGCGCCAUUGUUUAAUUUUUUAGAUUAAUUUUUAUUGAAAACAUUUUAAUUUGAUUGUUUCAGUAUAUGAAAAAGUGCUAUAUUUUUAAAGACCUGCCCACAUUAGUCACUAUGUCCCAUGUGGCACCUGUUGGUGGAGGUUAGGUGGCCCCUGUUUGGCGGCUCCCCAGUACUGGUCUUAUUCCCAGAGGGGUUCAUUCACUAUCUUCCUGGGCUCUGAGGGCAGCAGAGUCAGGUCCCUGGCUAAAGAGAAACUCAUCAGUUCCCAGCAGGCCACUUUUUCAUGCACCAUAAAACAUGACACCUUUGUUACAUUAGUGAUAUGGAACAGGCAGAUGGGGUGUGGGAUUCUGUCCCAAAGCCUCCACUCCCAGUGGAAGCAUG